rnacentral:rRNA from 1 species
UACGUAGGGUGCAAGCGUUGUCCGGAAUUAUUGGGCGUAAAGAGCUCGUAGGCGGUUUGUCGCGUCUGCUGUGAAAACUCGGGGCUUAACCCCGGGCCUGCAGUGGGUACGGGCAGACUAGAGUGCGGUAGGGGAGACUGGAAUUCCUGGUGUAGCGGUGAAAUGCGCAGAUAUCAGGAGGAACACCGGUGGCGAAGGCGGGUCUCUGGGCCGUAACUGACGCUGAGGAGCGAAAGCGUGGGGAGCAAUCAGG